AGUGAACGCUGGCGGUAGGCCUAACACAUGCAAGUCGAACGGCAGCACAGUAAGAGCUUGCUCUUACGGGUGGCGAGUGGCGGACGGGUGAGGAAUACAUAGGAAUCUACUUUUUCGUGGGGGAUAACGUAGGGAAACUUACGCUAAUACCGCAUACGACCUACGGGUGAAAGCAGGGGAUCUUCGGACCUUGCGCGAUUGAAUGAGCCGAUGUCGGAUUAGCUAGUUGGCGGGGUAAAGGCCCACCAAGGCGACGAUCCGUAGCUGAGCUGAGAGGAUGAUCAGCCACACUGGAACUGAGACACGGUCCAGACUCCUACGGGAGGCAGCAGUGGGGAAUAUUGGACAAUGGGCGAAAGCCUGAUCCAGCCAUACCGCGUGGGUGAAGAAGGCCUUCGGGUUGUAAAGCCCUUUUGUUGGGAAAGAAAAGCAGCAGGUUAAUACCCCGCUGUUCUGACGGUACCCAAAGAAUAAGCACCGGCUAACUUCGUG
rnacentral:rRNA from 1 species